CCCACUCCAUUGAUUUUCAAAGAGAUCAAAAGAAUUGACGUCCUGUGAUUUAUUUUCCCAAGACAUUUUUCAGCAUGACUCUCAAAGACGGGAUGAAAAAUCAAAUACACGUGGGGCUGGCUCAACAGCAUACGGCUUUUAAAUUCGAAUUUGAGAUCGCCCUCUUUUCCUUUUUUCCUCUUCCGGCAGAGCAGACACGAGGUCUUCUCCUGGGUUGCUGCCACCACCAGAUGUGGAGGUCUUAUUACACGCUUGAGUCUUCGGCACACCUCAAACCUGAGGGGCUCUUCCUCUUUAACGUGGGGGGGCUCUGGCUCCUGUUGCGUUAUCCUGAAGCUCCACUCCUGCCGCUCUGCCUGAAGAUCAUCUUUACGGAUGUCUCCUGGAAGUAUGAAGACAAACACGCGUGGUUUGGUAAAGUCAAGCUUCCCUCAAGCUAGAGUUAAAAGGCUGAAUAAAUACAAAAAAAAUUCCA